rnacentral:rRNA from 1 species
UUGACCUCAAAUCAGGUAGGACUACCCGCUGAACUUAAGCAUAUCAAUAAGCGGAGGAAAAGAAACUAACAAGGAUUCCCCUAGUAACUGCGAGUGAAGCGGGAAAAGCUCAAAUUUAAAAUCUGGCGGUYCUUGURGCCGUCCGAGUUGUAAUUUAGAGAAGUGUUAUCCGCGCUGGACCGUGUACAAGUCUCCUGGAAUGGAGCGUCAUAGAGGGUGAGAAUCCCGUCUUUGACACGGACUGCCAGGGCUUUGUGAUGCGCUCUCGAAGAGUCGAGUUGUUUGGGAAUGCAGCUCAAAAUGGGUGGUAAAUUCCAUCUAAAGCUAAAUAUUGGGGAGAGACCGAUAGCGAACAAGUACCGUGAGGGAAAGAUGAAAAGAACUUUGGAAAGAGAGUUAAACAGUACGUGAAAUUGCUGAAAGGGAAACGCUUGAAGUCAGUCGCGUCGUUCAGGACUCAGCCUUGCUUUUGCUUGGUGUACUUCUUGUUCGACGGGUCAGCAUCAAUUUUGGUCGGUGGAUAAAGGCUUAGAGAAUGUGGCAUCUUCGGGUGUGUUAUAGCUCUGGGUCGCAUACAUCGGCUGGGAUUGAGGAACUCAGCACGCCGCAAGGCCGGGUACUUGUACCACGUACGUGC